rnacentral:sRNA from 1 species
AAUUAUUUUGAUUACGUUAUCUUAGAAUUAUUUGUUUUGUAUUGAAAAAAUAAUUUUUUAUUUCCAUAUCAUUAGGGCGUUUCAAAAGGAUUCCACGGAGGAGAAAUGAAGAAUCUAUUGUCGGGCACGUAAUAAGGCUAAAUCCGUUAUUCGAAAAGAGAAAAGACAUGCUCAUUCAUCUUAUUUUGAUAACGAAAGUGAUGCGAGGACCAUGUGGAGUAAGAUCAGGAAUAGUCGCCUAUUGAAUGGUUCUCAGGACGGUUGCCACGAAAUGGAUGUUAAUGUUGAAGAGUUGAAUGCAAGAUUUAUUAAUUACCAACUUCAGGACCCUGGCGAACUGUUGCAUUUUCUUUUAUUAAAUCCAAAGCCGCUGGAGAUGAUGGAUGUCUAAAAUUUCUUAAACUAGAUUUCCCGCAUAUCGCUACUUAUUUCUUGGGUUUGGUUAACUCAAUUAUAAUAAUGUCAACUUUUCCUUCCGAAUUGCGAAGAUUGCGAAAAUCAUUCCCCUACGGAAGAAGCCAACUGUUAUAUCUUGGUAUAACUUAAGACCAAUAUCGAUUUUGACGAUUCUAUCGAAAACUGUUGAGCAUGUCCUUAAACGUCCAUCAUUAAACCAUCUUGAAUCCUCCCUUUCCCUAAGCGAUUAGCAAUGUGGGUUUCGUUGCAAUAGAAAUACAACGGGUUUACUACUUGGAUUGACUGAUUUAAGUGGGGGCGAUUUUUAUGACAAAAAACUCUCUAUUCUACUGUCCAUGGAUUUAGAGAAAGCGUUCGACAGGAUGCAUUAUUCCAUUCUCCUUUAAAAGUUGAGUGACAUUUAUAAUAUUGGGCGGAAUGCUUGUCAACUUAUAUUGUCCUAUCUCUCGGACAGGUAUCAGUGCGUUUGUGUGCAUGGCGAAACAUCUGGAAUCCUUCCAGUUAGAAGUGGAGAUCCCCAUGAUUCCGUAUUAGGGCCAAUGUUGUUCAUCUGUAUUCAUGAGAGCAUAGAUCCAUGGAAGUCACUCAACAUAAGAUACAUGACGCUAUGCACAUGAAUGGCACGGAAUAAGUUAAUUGUUAAUCCUCAGAAGACGAAGUCCAUGAUAUUUUCUUCUAAACCAACAUCUUUUGAUAUUUCCUAUAAUGGCAUCCAUAUACAAUUGGUAGAUCAACUGGAAUGCUCAGGUGUCAUAUUAGUUGACAAGUUGGAUUUUGGUCCUCAUAUAGAGCGGGUUGCAUCACGUACAUAUGGCCCUUUGCGCCGCCUACAUAAUUGCGAUAUAUUGCUACCAAGGUCUAUGAGGACUAAACUGGUUCAUGCUCUUAUAAUGCCCAAUAUUCUCUACUGUUUAGAGGUUUAUUGUGGUACAUCGGCCCAGAGUAUGGACAGGGUGCGCAAAGCCUUUAAUAGUGCUAUGCGUUAUCUAUAUUCCGUUAAUAGUUUAGUUUAGGCUGCUCCUUUGUGGAUUAUGUGAACUUAAGGUGCCUUCUAUUUUUUUUUAUAAAUUUUUUAAAUUUCAAAGUCCACAGUUUCUUCUUUGGUUGUUUCAUUUCUCACGCUCUUCCCGCUCAAUACAUUUAAAUAUUCCCCGAUUCUCACAACACAUGGAUAAAUCAUUUCAGGUGAAAGUGGAGCGCCUUUUUAAUAUUCUGCCCGGAUGCACGGAAGUCUUUUAAUAUGUCUUUGCCUACCGGAAAAAGCUUCUUGAAUAUUUUG